GACAGAGGAGCCAAGCGUUGUCCGGACUGACUGGGCGUAAAGCGCCCGCAGGCGGCCGUGCACGUGGGGUGUGAAAGCUCGCGGCUUAACUGCGAGAGGCCAUCCCAUACGGCGCGGCUCGAGCCGUCCAGAGGCCGGUGGAAUUGCCGGGUGUAGUGGUGAAAUACGUAGAGAUCGGCAGGAACACCCAGGGGGAAACCAGCCGGCUGGGGACGUGGCU
rnacentral:rRNA from 1 species